UACAGAGGGGGCAAGCGUUAAUCGGAAUUACUGGGCGUAAAGCGUGCGUAGACGGUUAUGUAAGUCGGGUGUGAAAGCCCCGGGCUCAACCUGGGAAUUGCAUUCGAGACUGUGUAGCUAGGGUACGGAAGAGGGAAGCGGAAUUUCAGGUGUAGCGGUGAAAUGCGUAGAUAUCUGGAGGAACACCGGUGGCGAAGGCGGCAUCCUGGACCGGCAUUGACGCUGAGGAGCGAAAGCCAGGGGAGCAAACGGG
rnacentral:rRNA from 1 species